rnacentral:lncRNA from 1 species
UAGCUGAUCUUUUGCAGCCUUUAACCCAAUUACUUUCAGAUGGGUUUGCUGGGUUUUCAAUGGACCAAGGGACCAAGUUACUUCCAUUAAAAUUGGCAGUACCUUAACAAUGAUAUGGCUGGUCAUAAGGGCAGAUUUGAUAUUCUGCAAUUGAAACUUUCUAACUCCUCUGUCCUGGUGCUGAAAACUGGAGAUGAUUCUUGGCCAACUCCUGCACACCUAUCCAGGGAAGCUCAUGUACUUUUACAGGGUCAAAUUAUCUUUGAAGAAUUGAAGGCAUUUGUAGUGUAUGCAGUAAUAUAACUUAAAGAAGACAGGAGAGAAAAAAGAAGUUUUUUCUAUGAUGAUAAGUGGGAUGGAUAAAUACCUUCCCUGAGAUGAACUGAGGAUCGAAAUCAGAAGCAGGCAGAGAAGUGGGAGAUGCAUGAGGAAUGGGAAAUGAAGUCCCUUGGAAAGUGAACUCUGCUGAUGGUGUCCAGAGGAUAAGUCAAAGUCAUGGCCAAGUCGCUCUUGCCAUUGAAGUGUCAGUCAUAAGAUUGCUCCUGGACUUGUCAGAGUUGCCCUUCCAGCAGGCUACAAAAAAAUGUACUUUUCACCAAAAUUACCUGAAGAUUGUGAUUGGAAGAUGGAAAAAUUAAGGUUUCAUCAAGAGUACCCUACAAUCAGAAGUGAGGCAAUAGGGACAACAACUUUAAGAAUUAAGUCCUACAUAUCUUUGAACUAUAAAAGAAAUAGGAAGGCUUUCUAUCAGGAUUGGUUCAUGCAUUUCAUGAAUAGAGUUUGCUACAUUCAAAGAUAGAGCUCCACGAUCCAAGAACAAUGACUACAACAUUAAAGGUUUUUCUAGAAACCAACCAAACCAUGUAUUACAAAAACAAUACAGAGAAUCCCUGCAAGCCUCAUAUUCUACAAAACAGGGUAGCAGAGAGAAAGCAGAGGGAAUUAAAUAGUCAAGGAUUGUUAAGAAAAAGUAACAGUGCAUACUAAAGGGCCCCUGUAAAGCUGCUUUACAUGAACUGAAGAAUAUAAUUUCCAUAUGACUGUGAUUUUGUGUGAAGAACAGAUGCUUUCAGAAGUGUCACUAUUUAGCUUUUUGGUUUUUUGGGGGAAAAAAAGCCCCAAAUAGUUAGGCGGUAUUUGAGAUAAUUGAAAAAAACCCAAAUGUAAUAGGCUACCUCACAAAGCUAACUACCAGAUUUAUUUACAUAAGCUUCACAUUUCACUGAGACUUUGUACUCCACUCCUAAACUUCCGAACUUUAGAACUGGAAGAGGACUUAGAGAAAGAACAAAUAUUUCUCAGGUUAGCUACUCAUACUACAUAAAAAUAGUGCAACUGUUUGCUACAUUAUAUAACCUUCCAGCACAUCUAUCAAAAUAUUCAGACUUGGUUUUAUUACCUUCUCAUUUAAAAAAAUACAUCAUUCUGCUUUCUUUCUUGCUUUUGAUUAGGAAAUUACAGACAUCUUUACAUUUAAAAUAAAACCCCAGCAACCCACGGCUAGUCCUGCAAACAGAUCCAGUGAAGCAGAUGGCAGUAUAGAAGAAGUGUUAUUAAUGCAGUUGACUCCAGGUGGAGACAAAGGUCCCUCUGGAUAGAGCAGCGUGCAGGCUCAGGAACUUCAAUCAUCCUUAAGCAGCAGCAGCAGAGACGAGCGUUAGGCCUAGACCUGAAUCAGUUCAGUCUUAUUUCUUCAUCAGUGGGGGUGAACUCCUCAGGAAAUGCGGUACCACCGUAAUGGCUGCAGCUCAGGAAGCUCCCAGAACACAAGGCUGAAUAGCUCCCUCAGUUCUGGCAGAAGAAUGCACUUUCCUUUGGGUACAAUGGGAUUUCUAAAUGCUCAGUCUGGCUACAGCAGCUUGGCUGUGCAUCUGAGAACUGCAGGUGUGAUUAGAUUUGAAAUAGCUUAGCACAUUGUGGCUGUUUUUCUUUACAGAAUAGGCUGCUCUUUAAUGGCCCUGACCCCACAGUAAAUCACAUGGAGCUUUUCUAUUCUCCUUAGGGCCCACUCCUGCUGCCCUCACUUUACCCCAAGAGCAUUACCACUGAUUCUGAUCUGCUAAAAAAACAGAGGACUUUGGGUUGGGAAAAGCUCAGUAAGUGCUGGCUGCAGACCAGUGCAGUGUAUUUACAAAGUUUGAAUUUUUGAAAAGUAACUUUGCAUUGUAUGUAUACUGACAACACAAUUACCAAACUCCACAGCCACAUCUUGCUCUUCUGCUUAGGGGAAAAACACUAUCUGAUUUUAUAAGGUAGAUAACAAUUAAGAUUUUCUCCCAAGAAGAGGCCUUGUGUCACUGUUCUUUGCCCUCACUGUGGAAUGUCCUUUCUGAUCACUAACCUUACUCUCAGAGGUCAGCCAGGAGCUGGCUAAAAAGGGCUGAAGAACACUUCUGGCUUCCAAAUGCUCACAUGCUCUGAUACCAAAGAAUGAAGAGAAUACAGCAAAGACAAGGAGAGAACUAAAAUGAAGUCAUAGAGACAAUGUGAUGGUGACAAUGAGUUUAAAGAGAUGGAUGUGAGUUCUUACCAGUGUAAUAUGGGAAGGAAUGAGGAAUGGUACAGCCUAAAGGAUUAGGCAGUGACUUUGGAGAUAUUGUGUGAUUCUCUUGCUAGCUCCUGUUCUCAGCAUCUUUAAAGUCUGGAUAAUAGUAAGAUCUCCUUUGAGACCUACUGGCAGAAAACUGAAUAUUAAAAUGAAACAA